AUGAACGCUAGCGACAGGCUUAACACAUGCAAGUCGAGGGGCAGCGGGGGUAGCAAUACCCGCCGGCGACCGGCGCACGGGUGAGUAACGCGUAUGCAACUUACCUAUCAGAGGGGGAUAACCCGGCGAAAGUCGGACUAAUACCGCAUGAAGCAGGGGCCCCGCAUGGGGAUAUUUGCUAAAGAUUCAUCGCUGAUAGAUAGGCAUGCGUUCCAUUAGGCAGUUGGCGGGGUAACGGCCCACCAAACCGACGAUGGAUAGGGGUUCUGAGAGGAAGAUCCCCCACAUUGGUACUGAGACACGGACCAAACUCCUACGGGAGGCAGCAGUGAGGAAUAUUGGUCAAUGGCCGAGAGGCUGAACCAGCCAAGUCGCGUGAGGGAUGAAGGUUCUAUGGAUCGUAAACCUCUUUUAUAAGGGAAUAAAGUGCGGGACGUGUCCCGUUUUGUAUGUACCUUAUGAAUAAGGAUCGGCUAACUCCGUGCCAGCAGCCGCGGUAAUACGGAGGAUCCGAGCGUUAUCCGGAUUUAUUGGGUUUAAAGGGUGCGUAGGCGGCCUUUUAAGUCAGCGGUGAAAGUCUGUGGCUCAACCAUAGAAUUGCCGUUGAAACUGGGGGGCUUGAGUAUGUUUGAGGCAGGCGGAAUGCGUGGUGUAGCGGUGAAAUGCUUAGAUAUCACGCAGAACCCCGAUUGCGAAGGCAGCCUGCCAAGCCAUGACUGACGCUGAUGCACGAAAGCGUGGGGAUCAAACAGGAUUAGAUACCCUGGUAGUCCACGCAGUAAACGAUGAUCACUAGCUGUUUGCGAUACAGUGUAAGCGGCACAGCGAAAGCGUUAAGUGAUCCACCUGGGGAGUACGCCGGCAACGGUGAAACUCAAAGGAAUUGACGGGGGCCCGCACAAGCGGAGGAACAUGUGGUUUAAUUCGAUGAUACGCGAGGAACCUUACCCGGGUUUGAACGCAUUCGGACCGAGGUGGAAACACCUUUUCUAGCAAUAGCCGUUUGCGAGGUGCUGCAUGGUUGUCGUCAGCUCGUGCCGUGAGGUGUCGGCUUAAGUGCCAUAACGAGCGCAACCCUUGCCACUAGUUACUAACAGGUGAUGCUGAGGACUCUGGUGGGACUGCCAGCGUAAGCUGCGAGGAAGGCGGGGAUGACGUCAAAUCAGCACGGCCCUUACAUCCGGGGCGACACACGUGUUACAAUGGCGUGGACAAAGGGAGGCCACCUGGCGACAGGGAGCGAAUCCCCAAACCACGUCUCAGUUCGGAUCGGAGUCUGCAACCCGACUCCGUGAAGCUGGAUUCGCUAGUAAUCGCGCAUCAGCCAUGGCGCGGUGAAUACGUUCCCGGGCCUUGUACACACCGCCCGUCAAGCCAUGGGAGCCGGGGGUACCUGAAGUCCGUAACCGAAAGGAUCGGCCUAGGGUAAAACUGGUGACUGGGGCU
rnacentral:rRNA from 1 species